rnacentral:rRNA from 1 species
AUUGAACGCUGGCGGCAUGCCUUACACAUGCAAGUCGAACGGCAGCACGGGUGCUUGCACCUGGUGGCGAGUGGCGAACGGGUGAGUAAUACAUCGGAACAUGUCCUGUAGUGGGGGAUAGCCCGGCGAAAGCCGGAUUAAUACCGCAUACGAUCUACGGAUGAAAGCGGGGGACCUUCGGGCCUCGCGCUAUAGGGUUGGCCGAUAGCUGAUUAGCUAGUUGGUGGGGUAAAGGCCUACCAAGGCGACGAUCAGUAGCUGGUCUGAGAGGACGACCAGCAACAGUGGGACUGAGAAACGGCCCAGACUCCUACGGGAGGCAGCAGUGGGGAAUUUUGGACAAUGGGCGAAAGCCUGAUCAAGCAAUGCCGCGUGUGUGAAGAAGGCCUUCGGGUUGUAAAGCACUUUUGUCCGGAAAGAAAUCCUUGGCUCUAAUACAGUCGGGGGAUGACGGUACCGGAAGAAUAAGCACCGGCUAACUACGU